rnacentral:lncRNA from 1 species
GAUUUUGAAAAUAAUUCUUUUGCAAAAUGAUAGUAGCUAAUAGUUCAUUAUUUUCUAAAGGGAUUUGUUCGAACACUUUUUACAAAAGUAUGCUUGACAUAAUCUAAGAUUUUAAUGGGCCAUAAACCAUAUGGCUGUAGAUUGUUAAAUUUUACUAGUUAGCAAAGCUCAUUAUUCUUUUUUUUUCUAUUUUAAAUUAUGAAUCAUGGUUACUCGAGAUUUGGGGGAG